UACAGAGGUCUCAAGCGUUGUUCGGAUUCAUUGGGCGUAAAGGGUGCGUAGGUGGCGCCGUAAGUCGGGUGUGAAAUUUCGGAGCUUAACUCCGAAACUGCACUCGAUACUGCGGUGCUUGAGGACUGGAGAGGAGACUGGAAUUCAUGGUGUAGCAGUGAAAUGCGUAGAGAUCAUGAGGAAGACCAGUGGCGAAGGCGGGUCUCUGGACAGUUCCUGACACUGAGACACGAAGGCCAGGGGAGCAAACGGG
rnacentral:rRNA from 1 species